GCUGUUGGACAUACCUAUCAUCCCUGCUACCCUGAAGCCUGAGGAUGAUGCAUCUCUUGAGCUUAGGAGUUCUAAGCUUCAGUGGGCUAAGCCAUUUGGGUGUCCACACUAAGUCUACCAUCAAUAUGGUAGACUUUGGAAGAUGGAGGCACUCUAAGUUGCCUAAAGAAGGAUGAACCAGCUCAGGUAAAAAACAGAACAGGUCAACCAUUUUGAGUCAAUCAGUAGUGGGAUAGCCCUGGGACCAGCCACUGCACUUUCAGCCUGCAUGGAAUAGGGAGAUGCAAUCUUU
rnacentral:SRP_RNA from 1 species